GUAGUCUCGCACAGAUGCAUAUCAAUAAGCGGAGGAAAAGAAACUAACAAGGAUUCCCCUAGUAACGGCGAGUGAAGCGGGAAGAGCUCAAAUUUGAAAUCUUAAAGGGUUUCCCUUUACGAAUUGUAGUUUAAAGAAGUGUUUUCUGUUGAGGUUUUGGUAAAAGUUCUUUGGAAUAGGACAUCAUAGAGGGUGAGAAUCCCGUAUUUGACCUUUACUUUCAACUUUGUGAUACACUUUCAAAGAGUCGGAUUGUUUGGGAAUGCAGUCCAAAAUGGGUGGUAAAUUUCAUCUAAAGCUAAAUAUUGGCGAGAGACCGAUAGCGAACAAGUACCGUGAGGGAAAGAUGAAAAGGACUUUGAAAAGAGAGUUAAACAGUACGUGAAAUUGUCAAAAGGGAAGCGUUUGACACCAGUGUUGUUUUUCUGAAAAUCAAUUAAAGAACUGUUUAUGCUAAGCUGUUUAGACUUUAUCAGCUAUCUGUUUAGUUUUGAGCUUUUCUUUAAUGCACUUUUCAGUUAACAAGUCAACAUCCAAUUUCUUUUGCUGUAAAAAAGCUUGAGGAAGGUGGCUUGAGAUUCGUCUUAAGUGUUUAUAGCCUCUUGCCUAUGCAGUCGGAGAGAUUGAGGUCUGCAGCGUAGAUCCUUCGGGGCUAAAUGCAUUUGUGCUAAGUUAUAGCAUUUUAUAGACAACUUGUUGACUAUGAUUUGUCUUGUAGCUUACUCGCUUAUGUUAUUUUACCUACGCUUAGGAUGUUGACAGCAGUAUAGACUGU
rnacentral:rRNA from 1 species